GACGAACGCUGGCGGCGUGCUUAACACAUGCAAGUCGAACGGAAAGGCCCUGCUUUUGUGGGGUGCUCGAGUGGCGAACGGGUGAGUAACACGUGAGUAACCUGCCCUUGACUUUGGGAUAACUUCAGGAAACUGGGGCUAAUACCGGAUAGGAGCUCCUGCUGCAUGGUGGGGGUUGGAAAGUUUCGGCGGUUGGGGAUGGACUCGCGGCUUAUCAGCUUGUUGGUGGGGUAGUGGCUUACCAAGGCUUUGACGGGUAGCCGGCCUGAGAGGGUGACCGGCCACAUUGGGACUGAGAUACGGCCCAGACUCGUACGGGAGGCAGCAGUGGGGAAUAUUGCACAGUGGGCGGGAGCCUGAUGCAGCAACGCCGCGUGCGGGAUGACGGCCUUCGGGUUGUAAACCGCUUUCGCCUGUGACGAAGCGUGAGUGACGGUAAUGGGUAAAGAAGCACCGGCUAACUACGUG
rnacentral:rRNA from 1 species